rnacentral:rRNA from 1 species
CCUACGGGUGGCAGCAGUGAGGAAUAUUGGUCAAUGGACGCAAGUCUGAACCAGCCAAGUAGCGUGCAGGAUGACGGCCCUCCGGGUUGUAAACUGCUUUUAGUUGGGAAUAAAAGGGGGCUCGUGAGCCCUGUAUUGUAUGUAUCAUCAGAAAAAGGACGCGCUAAUUCCGUGCCAGCAGGCGCGGUAAUACGGAGGGUCCGGGUGGUAUCCGGAUUUAUUGGGUUUAAAGGGAGCGUAGGGGGGCUUUUAAGUCAGCUGUGAAAGUCCGCGGCUCAACCGUGAAAUUGCAGUUGAGACUGGAGGCCUUGAGUGCACACAGGGAUGCCGGAAUUCAUGGUGUAGCGGUGAAAUGCUUAGAUAUCAUGAAGAACUCCGAUCGCGAAGGCAAGUGUCCAGGGUGCAACUGACGCUGAGGCUCGAAAGUGCGGGUAUCAAACAGGAUUAGAUACCCCUGUAGUC